UGCCCUUGCGGAACAUGCCGCCCGAACCCGCAAGGCCCUAGUUCCCUGCACUUGAUUUUAAGAAAGGCCUUAACUCCGCCAAGAUAGUUUAAGAAAAGUCGAAAAGGCCCGCGACCGAGCUCAUGAACUUUGUCACUGCCACAGGUCCGGAAGGAGCCGCCAAAAUUAGAU
rnacentral:SRP_RNA from 1 species